rnacentral:rRNA from 1 species
CCUACGGGAGGCUGCAGUGAGGAAUAUUGGUCAAUGGCCGUAAGGCUGAACCAGCCAAGUCGCGUGAAGGACGAAGGAUCUAUGGUUUGUAAACUUCUUUUAUAGAGGAAUAAAGGUAUCCACGUGUGGAUAUUUGCAUGUACCCUAUGAAUAAGCAUCGGCUAACUCCGUGCCAUCAUCCGCGGUAAUACGGAUGAUGCGAGAGUUAUCCGGUUUUAUUGGGUUAAAAGGUUACUUAGGUUUUUUUUUAAGUCAGCGGUGAAAGUUUGUGGCUCAACCAUAAAAUUUCCGUUGAAGCUGGAAGACUUGAGUGUGUUGGAGGUAGGCGGAAUGCGUGGUGGAGCGGUGAAAUG